UACGAAGGGGGCUAGCGUUGUCCGGAAUUACUGGGCGUAAAGCGUGCGCAGGCGGCUUCUCAAGUCAGGGGUGAAAGCCCAGAGCUCAACUCUGGAAUUGCCUUUGAGACUGAGUGGCUUGAGUACGAGAGAGGUGAGUGGAAUUCCCAGUGUAGAGGUGAAAUUCGUAGAUAUUGGGAAGAACACCGGUGGCGAAGGCGGCUCACUGGCUCGUAACUGACGCUCAUGCACGACAGCGUGGGGAUCAAACAGG
rnacentral:rRNA from 1 species